AUUCCCAUUUUUUGCAUAAUGAAUUUAUACUUGUAAUUUUAGGCGAAAAUAAAAAUCCUGCAUUUUUACUUUUUUAAUGCAAUUAUGCAGAUUUUCUUGAUUGGUAAAUUUUCUACAUAAUCGCAUUAGAAAACGCCAUUAUGCCAUUAUGCGUGUUACCAAUCAUAGUCACAAUCAAACUAAAAUAUAUGUGACAAGAGGUUUGACCAAAAAAAAAAAAAGUUGACAAGUGGAUGGAGAGAGAAAGUGAAUCAGCUUCAUUAACUACAGAUAAGUACAAAACUAAAAUUGUUCCCAAGGACAAUAAAAUCAUGUACAAGGGUAGAUCUACAUUUAGUAAAUAAAAACAUAAACAAAAGAGAUCAAAAUUUAGUAAUUUUUGACUUUGGAAAUUUCAUUUGGUGUGUUCAUGGGAAAAGCAAUUAUUAAUCAUUCAAAGUGUUUAGUCUCCAGUUACAUGCAAAUCAUCUUUUCAUCAUUGAAAAUUCUCUAAUUAUGGCUAAUAUCUAAAUGUAACCAAAAAUCUAA
rnacentral:sRNA from 1 species